rnacentral:lncRNA from 1 species
CAGGGAGUACCAGAUAAUAACAUGGCUAUAGACAGGAAGUACCAGGUAAUAACAUGGCUAUAUACAGGAAGUACCAGGUAAUAACAUGGUUAUAGACAGGGAGUACCAGGUAAUAACAUGGUUAUAUACAGCAGUACCAGGUAAUAACAUGGCUAUAUACAGGGAUUCCCAGAACCUAGUUGAUAUGCAGGGGUACGAGGUAAUUGAGGUAGCUAUGUACAUAUAGGUAGGGGUAAACUCACUAGGCAACAGGGUAGAUAAUAGACUGAUAAUUGACAGCAGUAGUGUAUUAAUGUGUCUGUCUGUGUGUGAUAGGCCUACCAAUAACAGUAUGGAGGGUUUGAAGCAGAGAUAGGCCUACCAGGAACAGUAUGGAGGGUGAGAAGCAGAGAUAGGCCUACCAGUAACAGUAUGGAGGGUGAGAAGCAGAGAUAGGCCUACCAGUAACAGUAUGGAGGGGGAGAAGCAGAGAUAGGCCUACCAGUAACAGUAUGGAGGGUGAGAAGCAGAGAUAGGCCUACCAGUAACAGUAUGGAGGGUGAGAAGCAGAGAUAGGCCUACCAGUAACAGUAUGGAGGGGGAGAAGCAGAGAUAGGCCUACCAGUAACAGUAUGGAGGGGGAGAAGCAGAGAUAGGCCUACCAGUAACAGUAUGGAGGGUGAGAAGCAGAGAUAGGCCUACCAGUAACAGUAUGGAGGGUGAGAAGCAGUAUCUUUCUGUCAACACCUCAGCUGUCUGCUGACAUGACCGUCCCUUUAAACCCUGAUGGAUGUAAAUCAUGAGAGCAUUCUGAAAUAACAGAUUCUGCCCUUGCCAGGUAUGGACAUACCUACAGCUGGCUGCAAGGGGCUUCUGGGGCCACCAGGUGGGUGGAUACCAGGACAUCAUGUGCUCAAUUCCAUCUGUAGUUCAAUUAACAAAUCUCAAGAACGAAAUGAGCAGAAUAUAUCAACAGAUGGGCUAUUAUUGGCUGAUUCUCUCAGAAACAACUAAAUAUAUCUAACAUAGUAUUACUUUUAAAAUAACAUUUUAGAGAAAUGGAUUUGGCCUGAUUGCUUGAGAUUGUAAUUGCUGUUGUGUUUCAGAUACCAUACAUGAUAUAGACUAUGGAAAAUGGAAAUUAAAUGCAUUAUAAUGUAAAUAUUGAAAUAUGAAUUUACACAUAUCUAAUUUUUAUAGUUGUGUUUUCUAUGAAGUAUGUAAUGAGGUAUUUAUAACAGCAUGUCCAUGCAGAACUCUCCUAAGUUACUAAGCCAGUUCUGGAGGUGGGGGGGAAAUGUCCCUACAACAACCAAAAUCCCGUUUCCUUUUCUAAAUCUUCUGGCCUAUACACUCGCAUUCUUCCACUGUUUCCAUCACCUUCCUUCCCAUUCACUGGGUGGAACCCAGAGCGUUGGGGCUGCACGGGGCUUUGUACCCGCCAGACGUGGCUGUCUGUGUCCACUACCCGCCACUCCCACUCCUUUCACCGAGAGGAAAGAAGAGGGGCUAUGGGACUGGAACGAGAGUGUAUUACCCACGCAAGCAGAACAUCCCUCUCUUGUUGUGCAGUGGGCUGACGACGGGGGCAGCCCGAGAGG